rnacentral:rRNA from 1 species
UACGUAGGGGGCUAGCGUUGUCCGGAAUCAUUGGGCGUAAAGAGCGUGUAGGCGGUCCGGUAAGUCCGCUGUGAAAGUCGGGGCUCAACCCUCGAAUGCCGGUGGAUACUGUCGGGCUAGAGUGCGGAAGAGGCGAGUGGAAUUCCUGGGUGUAGCGGUGAAAUGACGCAGAUAUCAGGAGGAACACCUAUUGCGAAGGCAGCUCGCUGGGACGUAACUGACGCUGAGACGCGAAAGCGUGGGGGAGCAAACAGG